rnacentral:lncRNA from 1 species
ACGAAAGCAUCAACCAAACGUUUACACGCUUUUGUAAAGGAAUCAAUGCAAGGGAGGAACGAAUGCAGCUAUGAGGAACCAAAUAACGCACCCAUGUUGGAACUGAAUUCAAGACGCUAUGGAACCGAAUACGCGUUGUGUGCAAUUUCUUCAAAAGUGUGGAACCAGAUACGCUUGAGAUGGAACCAAAUACAAGAAGAUGUAUAUUGUUUUCUCACCACUAUAACCGGAUACCCCAUUUGUGAAACCAAAU